rfam:Ovis aries breed Texel chromosome 16, whole genome shotgun sequence.
UCCCUGGUGGCUAAGAGGUUAAAGCGUCUGUCUCCAAUGUGGGAGACCUGGGUUCAAUCCCUUGGUUGGGAA